UUCUGUGAUGCUUGUCCUUGCCAUGCCUUCCUUCCCAGUGACUACCAUGUGUAGGCCUGAUGGCUCCUUGCAGCUUCCCUUUUGUACAUCCUUAUGUUACUCCACACUCAGUUUCUCCAUGUGUUGACUGUUUUUCUUUUUUUGUGUCUUCCUCCACUUAUAAAUAACACUCAAACUCACACACACACACUUCAGGUAUUCUCAGAUAUUCAGCAUUCAUUCUUAUCUUGCCUUCCUUCACCUACUCACAGCAUCUCCAGGUCUUCACACUCAGCAUUCCCCCUCAUCUUUCACUCCACACAGUAUCCUUCACUCCACACAGCCUGCCCCCUCAUCCUUCACUCAGCCUCUUCCCUCGUCUUUCACUCAGCUUCCCUCCUCAUCUCUCAAUCCACACAGCCUGCCCCCUCAUCCUUCACUCCACACAGCCUGCCCCCUCAUCCUUCAGUCAGCCUCUUCCCUCAUCUUUCACUCAGCUUCCCUCCUCAUCUCUCAAUCCACACAGCCUCCCCCCUCAUCCUUCACUCCACACAGCCUGCCCCCUUAUCCUUGACUCCUUUAGUCAGCCUUUUCCCUCAUCUUUCACUCAGCUUCCCUCCUCAUCUCUCACUGCACACAGCCUGCCUCCCCAUCCUUCACUCCUCCACACAGCAUCCCUCAUCUCUCACACCAUCCAAGCCUUACACAUCCACACCUACAUCUACAUCUCACACCUGCAGCAUCCCUGGAAUCACAUCAGUGCCCCCAGGUGACAGGUGAGCUCUAAUUCUAUCCAUUCUGUUUUUCGUCACCACCACCAUCACCACUACCACCAAUAUUUAUGACCUAAAUAUGCUAAUUAUACUGUUUGUCAUGCGCAUUUUUAAUUGUGGAGUAGGGAAGUUGAAGAAUAAUUGAUUUCAUAUUAAGAGCUAAAGUAAGAAUGUAAGAAAAUAAGGGCUGGUGCAAGAAAAUAAUAGGCCUACACGCGGUGGUCCAUAUUUCAAACAUGCCUGCGUAUUUCCACCUAUCAUCCCUGUCCAUAAAUUCGUAUAAUCUCUUAAAACUACCUAAUGACUCAGCGCUAACAACCUGGUUCGUUUGUCUCCACCGUGUGGAUUAAUAUAUUCCUUAACUAUCUCGUUGUAUUAAACUGCUUGUAAUGGUUGACGUAUUCUGGUCUGCAUCCUUCAUUUGUAUCUUGUUUGUAUUCUUGUAUUCUUAAGCACUUCAUCUCAAAAUAAUGGCAAAGAUAGUUAGUCUUUGCCAUGCGGAUAAAAUAUUUCCUCAAACUACCUCGUUAAAUUAAUCUGCUUGUAAUUGUUGAUGUAUUCUGGUUUGUGUUCUCCAUUUGUAUCUUGUUCGUAUUGUUAAGCUCUUGGUUCUUUCACCAGGACUGUUAACAAAUGCCACAGAGGUGAUUGGUCAGGUUCUCAUGGGUGUUCUCAUUAAUGACGCAGGAUCCUCACCAAACCAUCACUGAGUCAUGAUAGUGCCAUUAUCACUUCGUUGACUUUCACUACAGGCUGUAAAACUAUCACCCAAGGAAACACACUUGUAAAUCCCUAACAGUUUGUACUAUACCCUGCUAAAACAUUCGUAAAACCACGAUAACUUCCAGUAAAUCAAAGGAAAUUGCCAAUAAACCAUGAAAAUACCCUUGCAAAACUCGUCACCUCACUAAUCAUAAUUUCAAUCACUAAAGUCACGAAAACAUCCUUGGAAAACCAAAUAACUUUAGCUCGGGUUUGGUAAAAGUAGUGGAGGUAUUUUCUUUUCUUCCCUUUUGUUGCCUCAGCCCGGUGUCCCUCUGAUAUGAAAAAACAAAAAAAACAAGACAUUGAAGCGUUCGAGAUAGCGAGAAAGUUACGAAGCUUCAGCAGACGUGAACUAACGCCUGGCUCUAGCCGCGUCGUUCUCUCUACCUCCGUCCGCCGCCCAGGUAAGGUCAGUGUUGUUUUGUGAUUAUUCUGUUUGCUAGUGGAUGAUGGUGUGUUCUUGGUGGCGGUGGUUGUGUUGUGUUGCGGUGGGCUUGAUGUAUCUGCAAGAGCUGGGUGAGGGCGAGGAAAGGUGAAAAUGAAAGUAUAAUGAAUCCAGCUUUAUUGGUGCUCCGUGUUUGAUGUUCCUGUCCCUCAUUUGUCGCGUUGACAGUCGACAGGUGCGUGACAAUCUCCUAGCGUCAUACUGUAACGCUCUGCUGAUUCAGGACAUGUCAGGUCUCUCCGGGGUUGAAGUGGCAGCAGCAGGAACAUGAACACCCAACACUGAGUACAAAGUUAUCCUGUGUUCAGUGUAAUUACCUUCAGAUCAUUCACUUUCCCUCGCCCUCCUUGCCCUGCUCUUCAGUGACAUGACACUCCCACGACACACGGAGCCACUACCAGGUGACCUGUAAUCUUUUAACGAGGUGUAAUAUUUUACUGGUGUAAUCUUUUAACUUGUAACGGCUCGUUUAUUGUAAUGAGCAUUUGGAGUUAUAGAAAGCCCAAUAUUGAGGUGUUUGUAUUGGUCCUUAUGUAACUGAUUGGUAUUCAGGCGUCUUGCAUUUUCGUCAUUUUGGAUUUAGGUUAGCGUAAAUAUUUUUGUACAAAUGUGUCGAGUGACGACCUAGUUUGUUUGCGUCGCUUAAUUGAAGUCUUUACUGUCUGUACUCAUUGAUUUAUUUACUAAUUGAUUGUGCUAAGUGUAUUUACUGUUAGGUCAUCCCAGCCACGUGCCGCCGCCUCGCUCCACUGCUUCACAAGGCGCUCCACGCGUGCCACAGCCAGCCGGCGCUCCUUAUUGGCGGCCUGAAGACCCACGCACCCCAGCAACAAGAUGAGUGGUGACGCUGCAGACUGGCGGCGGCACUCCCCUGCAUUGCUGUAACAAAGCAGCCGUGUGAGCGACUCGUGGGCUGGCGCGCCGCCGGUUAAUGAUGUACGAGAGGCUCCCAAAUAUAUAUUGUUUUUAGUUAAUUUUUUUUUAAAUAAAAAAAAUAGUUUUUAAUAAAAAAUAUGUAUAGUUUUUAAUAAAAAAAAACUAAGUUUGCUCAUAUCUGAAAAUGGUCGUGGUGUUUCUCCGGAGAGUCUUCGAGGUAUUUUGUAAGCGAAACGAGUAACUGCACGUUUUGAGUAAAAGUGGUUUUGUUGAAAAGUUUAAGCUUCCACACUCUGGCACUCGCCAACCUCUCUAUCCACUCCCCACAGCUGGCAUCGUAUUCACAUCCAGGAAAGGGAAACGAACACUAUUAUUGUAUUUUGUAUAUAUGCAUAACGAACAUUAUUGCAUUUUAUAUAUAUGCAUAAAGAUAAUUAUUGCAUAA